rnacentral:rRNA from 1 species
ACCGGCAGCUCAAGUGGUGGCCAUUUUUAUUGGGCCUAAAGCGUUCGUAGCCGGUUUGAUAAGUCUCUGGUGAAAUCCCGCAGCUUAACUGUGGGACUUGCUGGAGAUACUAUUAGACUUGAGGUCGGGAGAGGUUAGGGGUACUCCCAGGGUAGGGGUGAACUCCUAUAAUCCUGGGAGGAUCACAUGCGGCGAAGGCGCCUACCUGGACCGAACAUGAUGGUAAGUAAAGAAUGAAAGGGGCGAGAACUG